GAUGACUUUUGUUCUGAAUUACUUGUAUUAUCUUCAAAGCAUUCUGUCAAAUGGAAAAACUAAUCAUAUAUGAGAGAGGGCACAGUUGGGGAACAGACACAAUAUCAACAAGCAGAGUAUUUUAGCAGACCUUGUUCAUAAACAGGUGCUUUCUUUCUCAAAUGACUUCUCCAGUAGUUCUUGAUUUCAUUAUCAGUUCUUCCAGGCAAUUGUUUUGCAAUCUUUGACCACCUAUAACAUUGAUAAAACUUUAGUACUAAUAAGCCAAAGCGGAAAAAUCUUUAGCCUUGAAAUGCUGAAGAUAAAAUUCCAUAAAUAAAAAGUAUAUCUCCUCUAACAGCUUAAACUUUGAGAUAAGAUGAUCACAACUCAAUGUGGUAUUAAAGUAGGCAGAAUUUCAUAUAUCCUUAAAAGCUUUGUUGUUGUGCAUCUUAAAAGGUUCUAAUAGAGAAGAAAAUAAGCCUACUUGUUCCCAAACUGUUUCUGAAGUCGGAUUAUCAAACGUUCUUCAUCUGCAGUAAUAUGACCGUGCUUUAGAUUUGGGCGGAGGUAGUUCAGCCAUCGCAAUCUGCAGCUUUUCCCGCUCCUCUUCAACCCUGCAUGGUAGCAUAUUUAAACAGAGUUAUUCUACGCCCACUAACUCUUGAUUCUGAAAUCACCUCUGACUCGUGCCAGUACGAAGUUAACAUUGUGUAUAUGCUAAUCAUACCUGAAUCUUUUGCUAAUGCAUCCCAACGACGUUCACCUGAAAUGGCUACAAUCAUAGCCAGUCUCUCAUCUUCCUCUUCAAGCCACUGCCCUCUUCGAAGUUCCUCUUCUUGCAUGGUUAACUGAGAAGACAUUAGUGAACCAUUUAUGGUUGCCACAACAUAAGAGAGUUACCUUAUAUAGGAUGAGCCAAGGUGGCAAAUUGUAUUAGGAUAAAAAGAGAAAAAGAGUAAGCAGAAGAUCUUACCUGGCAAAAUAGGUGGAAAAACAUCAGUUUAUAAUGGAAUACCAGCACCAUCAUAAUAGAUAAUUCAUCUUUUUAAGGCUUACCAUUGGGUCAGCAAUGGAUUUAUGAAUCUUAUGUGCAUAAAGAGUGGAGUUCUAUCUCCCUUUUACAUCACCAUUUUUGGUACAGUACACCAAGGUUGUCUGCUUAACACUACACUGUGGGCAUAAAGGUUUUGUCUCAUUCAUCACAAUAAUAUAAACUAUAAGAACUUUAAUAAGGCAUGUGCUUACUUAGAAAACUCAAGAUAAGCAUGAGGAUUUGAUCCAAUAUAUGCAUCUCUUGUGGGGGCAACAAAAUCUUAUUGUGCUUCACAGCUUUCUCCAUUGAAUUGAGACACAAGACAAGUUGAAUUUUACCACUAUACUGUAUAAACUGCUCACUUUGAAAGACCUGUAAAGACAGCCCCCAGCUUUCAAAAAAAAAAAAUGGAAAGCUUGGAUCACCUUAAUUAAUAGUUUCGCCAGUACAUUGUAUCGGGCAACACAUUGUUUACCAUGUACUAACACUCUUUGCUUCAACUGCUUGUUUUUCUUUCUUAGUGGCAACAUGGUGUUAGGAUCAGCAAGUGCGUACCUCGACUAUUCCACCAGGUACAUCCAACCAGGACAACGCAAAGCAGUGUACAAGGAUUGAUUUGGCAAGAUAACACUUGCUCUACCACUAUUCUCAUCCUCAUUUAACAGUCAAUACAUGACAAAAGUAAGUUUCUCUAUGUAGGUCUUCAUUGAGAUUUCUUACUUUUUCCUUGUAAGCAAGAAAAACGUACUGUAGAUUCAUCUACCAAUGUCCACGAUGAAAAGUUGAGCUUGUAAUGAGAAGAUACCAUAGGAUCAUUGAAUUGCCACAAAAUUUCCAAGCUAUGUAACUUAAGAAGUAAUUAAACUUUUUCAAAAAGCCACAACUCAAUGUAGCUGUCAAAUGUACAAUAGAUUUCAAGUUUGAUAAUACAACGGAACUUCCUUAUUUAAGCAACAUUUGUAGUAGGAUUUAACUGAACCGCUGAUCUCUAUAAUAAUCUUCAUUAGUUUUUGACAAGCC
rnacentral:lncRNA from 1 species